AGAGUUUGAUCCUGGCUCAGGACGAACGCUGGCGGCGUGCUUAACACAUGCAAGUCGAGCGGUAAGGCCCUUCGGGGUACACGAGCGGCGAACGGGUGAGUAACACGUGGGUGAUCUGCCUCGCACUCUGGGAUAAGCCUGGGAAACUGGGUCUAAUACCGGAUAUGACUUCUGAAUGCAUGUUUGGAAGUGGAAAGUUUUUCGGUGCGAGAUGAGCCCGCGGCCUAUCAGCUUGUUGGUGGGGUAAUGGCCUACCAAGGCGACGACGGGUAGCCGGCCUGAGAGGGUGAUCGGCCACACUGGGACUGAGACACGGCCCAGACUCCUACGGGAGGCAGCAGUGGGGAAUAUUGCACAAUGGGCGAAAGCCUGAUGCAGCGACGCCGCGUGAGGGAUGACGGCCUUCGGGUUGUAAACCUCUUUCGACAGGGACGAAGCGCAAGUGACUGUACCUGUAGAAGAAGCACCGGCUAACUACGUGCCAGCAGCCGCGGUAAUACGUAGGGUGCGAGCGUUGUCCGGAAUUACUGGGCGUAAAGAGCUUGUAGGCGGUUCGUCGCGUCGAUCGUGAAAUCGUGCAGCUCAACUGCGCGUCUGCGGUCGAUACGGGCGGACUAGAGUACUUCAGGGGAGACUGGAAUUCCUGGUGUAGCGGUGAAAUGCGCAGAUAUCAGGAGGAACACCGGUGGCGAAGGCGGGUCUCUGGGAAGUAACUGACGCUGAGAAGCGAAAGCAUGGGUAGCAAACAGGAUUAGAUACCCUGGUAGUCCAUGCCGUAAACGGUGGGUACUAGGUGUGGGUUUCCUUCCACGGGAUCCGUGCCGUAGCUAACGCAUUAAGUACCCCGCCUGGGGAGUACGGCCGCAAGGCUAAAACUUAAAGGAAUUGACGG
rnacentral:rRNA from 1 species